ACAGCCGCAAAAUCUGCUGUCGGGAUUAGCCUCCCGGAUAUCAUUCAUGACGCACAGUCGCGUUAGCGGCUUUUUU
rnacentral:sRNA from 1 species